AACAAUGGCUAAUCCAACUUGUAUUAAAACAAAUAAUGAUUAUACAUAACCCAAAAGGACGUACCUGAUCCCUAAUACUAAUCUCGUUAAUUAUAUUUAUUGGCUCAACUAACCUUCUAGGUUUAUUACCCCAUUCUUUUACACCAACUACCCAGCUAUCAAUAAAUUUAGGAAUAGCUGUUCCUCUAUGAGCAGGAGCAGUAAUUACUGGAUUUCGUCACAAAACUAAAGCAUCAUUAGCCCACUUUCUCCCACAAGGAACCACAAUUCUACUUAUUCCCAUACUCAUUAUUAUCGAAACAAUCAGCCUUUUUAUUCAACCUAUAGCAUUAGCCGUGCGACUAAC
rnacentral:lncRNA from 1 species